CCCGGUGCCUGAACGAAGCCUUCGCCGCCCUGCGGAAGAUCAUCCCCACCCUGCCCUCGGACAAGCUGAGCAAGAUCCAGACCCUCAAGCUGGCGGCCAGGUACAUCGACUUCCUCUACCAGGUCUUACAGAGCGACGAGCUGGACUCCAAGAUGGCCAGCUGCAGCUAUGUGGCCCACGAGCGGCUCAGCUACGCCUUCUCCGUGUGGAGGAUGGAGGGCGCCUGGUCCAUGUCCGCAUCCCACUAGCAGAGACGGGGCCCCACCCGCACCCCCCGGGCAGGAGCCCUAGAUGACAUUGUUCCCAAAGAAGGAGAAAAUGGACAGUCUAGAGACUCUGAAGUUGGAUACCAUUUUUUAAAUUAAAAAAAAAACUAUGCCAAGGAUUUUCUUGGAAAUUAGAAGAGCUAUAUCCAAAUUCAAAGCAGGGCGUGGGGAGCACUUAAAGAAAGAAAGAGGCGAGGGUGCUUGGACAGUGACCACCCAGAUAGGCAUCUGCACAAUCCACACAUCUCUGCAUUCUGAUAGAAGUCUGAACAGUGUUUUGGUUUUCUUAAAUUUUGACGAAGAAUGUUGGAAUUUAAUUUUUUUUUUGCAUGCAUGCAUUCCCAAGAGGUCGUGCCUAUGAGCCACUGAUGAAAGGAAAAUACAUUAUUGUGGACUUUUCGCCGUUCUUGAAUGGUCAUAAUGAAAAACAAAACAAACUUUUUUUUGAGAUGAAAACUUUUAGGGGGAAAAUAAACUGGGCUCAAACUGUUAUACACAAACCUACCCGGUUCCUACUUUUUUAUUAUUAUUUUUCCUCUGAGAAAAAAAUAAACAUUUUAUUUAUUUAUUGAUGACCCAUGUUAAAAUGCAAAUAGAUCCGGUGUCUAAAUGCAUUCAUAUUUUUAUGGUUGUUUUGUAAAUAUCAUUGUAUAUUAUUUUUCUGCAAUAAAUAAAUAUGAUUGAAAUUUUAA